rnacentral:lncRNA from 1 species
CUAGGAAGUACAAAGCAAUAGCCGUGGACACAAAGGGGAAAAUGACAGAAAGAUUGGACCGAGGCGAAAAGAUGUUUCAAGAACACAGAGAAGACAGAAAAUCUUUCUUCCACUAAAACAGAAUCUAAUUUGGAGAAACUGAAUAGUCUGCAUUUCAGAAAAAUCAAGAGUUUGGAGAUUCAUGAGAAUUGUUUUGGGCCC